UACGGAGGGAGCUAGCGUUGUUCGGAAUUACUGGGCGUAAAGCGCGCGUAGGCGGCUUUGUAAGUUAGAGGUGAAAGCCCGGAGCUCAACUCCGGAACUGCCUUUAAAAACUGCAUCGCUUGAAUCCAGGAGAGGUGAGUGGAAUUCCGAGUGUAGAGGUGAAAUUCGUAGAUAUUCGGAGGAACACCAGUGGCGAAGGCGGCUCACUGGACAGGUAUUGACGCUGAUGCGCGAAAGCUAGGGGAGCAAACAGG
rnacentral:rRNA from 1 species